rfam:Brochothrix thermosphacta DSM 20171 = FSL F6-1036 c5, whole genome shotgun sequence.
UGAGAUAUAGCUCAAUGGUAGAGCAACGGCUUCCAAACCCGUGUGUUACAGGUUCGAGUCCUGUUAUCUCAG